UAUAGGUAGAUAAAAAACAAGUGAAAAAGCA
rnacentral:piRNA from 1 species